GGAUAGACAAACCUCUGGCACGGGGAGAGCAGACAAGACUGGAGCUUGGGGACGUUUAAUUAUCCAUUAAUCCUUAUGUGUUUAGAGAAGAGAUUUUUCAUACAGCUCACCUGGAAAGAAUGUUCUUUGGUGUAAAACUCUAUUCUAUUCAUAAAAAGCUCCCUUGACUUUACUCUGGCAAAUGCCCAGCUCCAGGUUACAUGUCUGAGGAGAGCUUUAUACAAAUAAUACAAACAGUGUAAAAUUUAGCUUCAGUCUGUAACCCUCACCCCUAUAUUUUAAUGAACAAUAAUGACUCUAAUUGAAAGCAAAUAUUUUAUACCUUGUGGUAAGCUUUCUGCCACCUGCCGGUGGAAGCUGUUCCCCUGACCUCUAACUCUGUACAGCAACUGCUCUCAUUUUCUUCCACCUUUUGUGAACAGCGUCAUUAGAUGGCUCUUUGCUUAACGUUCCGGGAUUGCCCCAAAUGAGAUUUCUCGUUGUAUGCCCUGCUAGAAAAAUGUCCUUGAAGGCUUGGUUUCGUCGAUGGCAAGAGUGGCCUGGAUGCCUUUUGCCUUCCCUGUGCCAACACCGCGGGGUGUAAUGUCCCAGGGCCGCUGCACGUGCCUGAGGAGUCUGGUCCUAACCCAUGGGAGGCAGCCUUGCGUAGAAGGGUAGCCACACACCUUGGACGGAGUUGCCUCGGGGCAGGAUGACUCCAGGACAACACAUCUGAGAACUGCAGUGAGGACGUUGUUUCUUAUAAAUAUUUAACGAACUUUCUAGAAUGUACCCAGACUUAGAGAAAAGCUGCCACCAUAGCACAGGGAGCUCUAGCAUGUCCCUAGCUGUUUUCCCUCUCCCAGACCCUCCAUUGUGAUGCAGCUUACACAUUUGUGAACCAACAUCUCUACCAACCCCACACUUGAUUGAAACAUCACUAGUUUCCCCCUAAUGUCCCUUUUCUGUCGUGCCCUCACACUGGUCUAUGAUGGUAUCAGACUUCCCUUGUUUUCGGUGACACGGAGAAUCGCGGGGAGUAUUGAACCUUGGUCUCUCUUGGAAUGCUCCCAACUGUUCACCUUCAUCUGGCGGCAGGGCCACUAACAUCUCAAGCUGCAGCAGGUGAGGAUCAUGGACCUCAGAGCAGCCACCUGAUGCAUGAGAGGCCAUAGAUGUCCCCCUGAGUUGCCAGCCCACCCUUCCCUCUGGCUUGUCCCUUGGCUCAGUGGGAGGUUCCAUGGUGGAAACCAAAGGAGAAGAACAGCCGUAACAUAACUGGUCCCAAGGACCACGUGAAAACACUGUAGUCAAGUUCUUUUGAAAUAAGUUGCUCACUUGCCCUAUUUCUUUCCCAGUUAAAAUGAAAGCAAAUAUCCAAGUUCUUCUUCAUUCACAUCAAUGAAGAAGUUUUAAUAUUAUGACUUGUUGUCUAAAACUUUACCUG
rnacentral:lncRNA from 12 species